rnacentral:rRNA from 1 species
GGGGAAUAUUGGACAAUGGGGGAAACCCUGGUCCAGCGACGCCGCGUGAAUGAAGAAGGCCUUCGGAUUGUAAAGUUCUUUUAUUGGGGAAGAUGAUGACGGUACCCAAUGAAUAAGUCCCGGCUAACUUCGUGCCAGCAGCCGCGGUAAUACGAAGGGGGCUAGCGUUGUUCGGAAUGACUGGGCGUAAAGGGUGCGUAGGCGGUGUGAUACGUUCGAUGUGAAAGUCCCGAGCUUAACUUGGGGAUUGCAUUGAAUACGGUUGCGCUAGAGUGCGAGAGGGGAAGAUGGAAUUGCUGGUGUAGAGGUGAAAUUCGUAGAUAUCAGCAAGAACACCGGAGGCGAAGGCGAUCUUCUGGCUCGUAACUGACGCUGAGGCACGAAAGCGUGGGGAGCAAAC